rnacentral:rRNA from 1 species
UGGCGGACGGGUGAGGAACACGUGGGAACCUGCCCCGGAGUGGGGGACAACGGUCUGGAAACGGCCGCUAAUACCGCAUACGCCCUAUGGGGGAAAGAUUUAUCGCUCUGGGAGGGGCCCGCGUCCGAUUAGCUUGUUGGUGAGGUAACGGCUCACCAAGGCGUCGAUCGGUAGCUGGUCUGAGAGGAUGAUCAGCCACACUGGGACUGAGACACGGCCCAGACUCCUACGGGAGGCAGCGGUGGGGAAUAUUGGACAAUGGGGGCAACCCUGAUCCAGCAAUGCCGCGUGGGUGAAGAAGGCCCUAGGGUUGUAAAGCCCUUUCAGCGGGGAAGAUGAUGACGGUACCCGCAGAAGAAGCCCCGGCUAACUCCGUGCCAGCAGCCGCGGUAAUACGGAGGGGGCUAGCGUUGUUCGGAAUUACUGGGCGUAAAGGGCGCGUAGGCGGCCCACAUAGUCAGGCGUGAAAGCCCCGGGCUCAACCUGGGAACUGCGCUUGAUACUGGUGGGCUAGAGUCCGGGAGAGGAUGGUAGAAUUCCCAGUGUAGAGGUGAAAUUCGUAGAUAUUGGGAAGAACACCAGUGGCGAAGGCGGCCAUCUGGACCGGUACUGACGCUAAG